rnacentral:lncRNA from 1 species
UCAUAUGUUUCUGCUGUUGCGUCAACAUCAUUGGCUCAUUGCAUCUGUUAACUUGGAUUAUAGCUUGCAUUUAAUAUGUUUGAUGAAAUUGCUGAGAUGCUCCUGUUCUGUCAAUUAUGCCUAUACACAUUAUAUUGUACAAUGUUAUUCAUUUUAUAGCAUGCCUUGGCUCUAGGCUCGCCCUUUGCAGCUUGAAUUUCCUAAUGGGGCCUUAGUUCAAGCCUAUCCCAUAGGCGUCCGUGUCUUUAAUUGUAUAGGAACUGAUUUAUGCAAUCAAGUCUUAAUGGUGAGUCAAGGAUUUGAAGUUGGUAUUAGUACUUCAUAUUUUGGGGAUAAAUGUCAUCGUAUAUUAUCUUGACAUUGGCUUACAGAGGUGAAGUCUCUACUAAUCAAGUUGUUGGUGUUUGCGUCCUUUCUAUUUUCAGCGGUUUUUAACAAGGAAGAUGACAUUGGCACAUUCACCAUCAAAGCAGUGGAUGACCCAAGGACCUUGAAGAAGAUCCUCUACAUCAGACCCCCAAGCAACACUCUCUCAUUCAAUGAACUUGUCACUUUAUGGGAGAAGAAGAUUGGGAAAACCCUGGAAAAGAACUAUGUCCCAGAGGAAGAAGUUCUGAAAAACAUUCAAGGUUAGUAAAGUACUAAAGUAUAAUUUGAAGUUUGAAAACAAUAUUAUUCCUUUGGAAUGAUGAUUGUUAGAUCAAGGAAUCAAAGUCUCCGUAGCUAAGUAAUCUGAUACAUUCAUUUGUUUUCGCAGAGGCCCCAAUUCCAGUGAACAUUUUCUUGUCAAUUGGUCACUCAGUUUUUGUAAAGGGAGACCAAACAAACUUCGACAUUGAACCUUCAUUUGGAGUUGAAGCUUCUGAGCUUUAUCCUGACGUGAAGUACACAACUGUCGAUGAAUACCUUAAUCAGUUUGUCUGAUCUGCCUGUUGCGUCUAUAUUUCAAGUGAUCGUCUUGUUUGACCCUUUUGAUUAUUACAAAUAAUUGUAUAAAUAAGAAAUCAGUGUUUUAAGGGGCUGUAAACGAGUAAUUAUGGUGCUAUUCCACUUGGAUGGUUCCAGUUUCAACAUUUGGUAUGGAACUAGAUUUGAUACAGAGUGCAGAUUCAGCUGUGAUGUUUAAUAAUCAAUACUACAAUGUUUGGUGCUUCUACUUUAGUGCUGAAGGGCUAUUAUGACAAACACUCAAAUGCCAAAACCUGAUUAUAAACUUACAUGUCUUGCACUUAGCCAUUUUAAAAUCCAUUUUAUUUAUUAUUUAUUAUUAUUAUAAAAAAAAAUCUGUUGCUGAGUUGGUCCAUUGUAGUGGGAUACUCUGGUCUCUGGGAGUCUGGGAUAGUGACAGAUGCACUGACACUAACAUUCAGAUAUACGCACUAUCUUUUUACUUGGUGUAUUUUUUGAGCAAAGAAUGGUAUUAACAAUAUAGUCUGAAGUUCUGAACUCUGAAGUCUGAACCAUAAAACAUACAUCGAUAGCGCUCACGCUCCAGGUGUAAAGUUGCAGGAUAUAUUAUGAAGUAAAACUAAAACUGCUGUUUACUAUCUACUAAAAGAUCGAUAUCAGAUUACAAUUUCAGGUGUAAAGUUGCAGGAUAUAUAUAUGAAGUAAACAAAAAAUUCAAAUUUUAUUAGAAGUACCAAAGUCAUUACAAACUAGUUCCCUAGAAUAUAUAAAAAGUCGGAAUGCUUAUCAACCUUCCCCGACUAGGUGCACUCCAUCACCUCGAACUAUAGCAAAAACCACGCCUUCCCUCAGGUGCCUUGGCUGGGCCGCGAGCUAUCAUCUGGGUCAGCAUGCUAGCUCUACUGGCUCAGGUCUUAAGCUCUUACACACAUAGUAAAUUCAGUAAAAUAAAGUUCCUUUUGCAUUGCAAUUAGGGGUGUUAUGUGAGCUGAGCAGCUCGAGCUCGGCUCGUGUUCGGCUCGAAAAAAGCUCGGCUCGGGCUCGCUCAUUUUGUAAAACGAGCCGAGCUUGAGCAGAUUUUAGGCUCGUCUCGAGCUCGAGCCGAGCCCGAGCUUUAUUCGAGCCGAGCCGAGUAGCUCGAGUUUAUAUAGUUAUUUCUAUCCUACCCACACUAAUAUCUGUUAUUCCUAUCCUACCCCCACUAUAUAUAACAUAAGAACAUAAGUUUCUGCUGGAAACCUAGCCGUCUGCCCGUCUCCUCUUCUUCUCUAACUCAAUCUUCAUCUCCAGUUCGGCAGUUCAUUGGUGGUAGGCUUCGUUAGUUCGUUGUUAAGAAAAAAAGAUUGAAGAAAGUUGGAAUUAGAGCUGAUAAUUUGCUAAACUUUUUGUUUGAAAUUUUAAUUUUAAUUCUGAAAAUAUGAAUACCAUUAAUUCUGAAAUCAUUCGAACUUGUUGUUGUCAUCAUGAAUCACAAAAUCUUCAAUCCUAGCAGAAAGUUGCUUAGCCAAAUUGACCACUUGUUCCGCCUCCCGAGCAAUUUUAUCUUGUUCUUUUAAUGCUUUUUUCAAACUACGCUUAUGCUCUUUCAGUGAAAACUUGAUCAAAUCAGAUCCAAAUGAAUCAAAGUCAUCAACUCGACGACUCAUGUCUUUCUUCUUUUUCUUCUUAGUUUUUGAUACUUUUUUAGAACUGGGAGAACAGAAAAAGCACAAAGGGGUCUGACGAGGAGAAGGGGUUAAGGAUGAAUCCUUUUCUUCUUCAUCUGAAGAAGAAGAAGAGAGAUACCUACCAGCACCACCAUUACCAUCAACAUUUUUGGGUUUGGGAGUUGGCUUGAAAACCUCUUCUUCUUCAUCAUCAUCUUCCCAAUUUGGGGAUGAAAUGGGAAUUGAAGUUGUGGGUAAGUCUUUAAUUUGAGAAUUGAGUUGGGUAGAAAGUGGGGUAUUAUGGCUUUUCAGAUUAGUUUGUGGGAAAGAUUUAAGUUUUCUAAACCUGGUUUCAAGAUCAAUGGGAAGAUCAGUUGUAGUAACUCCAGAGAGAUUAAUAGAUGAAAUUUGUUCAAGAACAUGAAGAUCCAUUGCUUGAGAGAUUAUCUCUUCAACUGCUGAAGAAUCAGAAUCAAAACAAUCAUGCAAACGAGCUCGAGCUCGAGCCUAAACGAGCUUGGAGGGUUCGAGCUUGAUUCGAGCUAAACGAGCUUGGAGGGCUCGAGCUCGGCUCGAGCUAAACAAGCCUAACGAGCUCGAGCUCGAGCUUGGUAAAUAGCUCACGAGCCGAGCUUGAACAUAAAACCAGGCUCGAUUCAGAAAUUGGGCUCGGGCUCGGGCUCGGCUCGUAUUAAAACGAGCCGAGUAGGAGCAUUCAAAGCUGGGCUCGCUCGGCUCGAAUAACACCCCUAAUUGCAAUACAGACUGCUCUUGAAGUCUCUAGCUUGGGCCUCUCUUGAUCUGGUUUCUUUUAUGAAUCGGACUGGAAAUCAUGAUUCUAGAACAUUGUAAGUGUUAUAUUACUGAUAUAACACGUGGCACAUAUGUCAUAGGAGCCACCAAAAAUUGUUCAAUUGGCCAUUAAUUUAGUUUCCAAGGACUUUGAGUUCCUAUCCUGUGACAGCCCAAAUCUCAGUUCAGUUCCUUUUCCAGCCAUCCAAUUUGUUACCACCUUAAGUCCUUAAUAGGAUAUAGCAGUGUCGUGGUCGCUGGUCAGUGAUUAGUGAUUACAGUGAAACUCUUCUUCAUUAGUAUGCAGUUGAUGACAUGUAGUUGUAGUUUUUACUUUUUAUUGCAUAGGUGUAUAUGAUGAACCAAAACCAUUAUUACUUGUAGGGAAGGAAAUUGGUCUGGUGAUAUAUCUAAUAUCUGAUAUAGUUUCCGCGACCAUCAACAUGAGAAACGGUAAUUGGAAUGAACUAGAUGAAAUGGGGAUGAAGAUUCUAAUGGUUGAAUUUGUUUUAUGUUUUGGCAGGUAUAAACAGAGAGUUUCUAUGACCAUUUUCAGCUACCUUGUCUGACAAGGUGGUACUGACGGUGAGCUUAACCAUAUUGACCCGAGCCCAACCCGACAUUAAAUCCAAUUUAAGCCCAAACUUUACUGAGCCCGGGGUUCGAGCGUUUAGCUUUGCCCCAGUGCUGGACCCACACUGUUUAAAAAGUUGCUAAUCUGUAUUAUCUACCCAAAAUACCCUCCAAUUUGGUCAAAGGUCAUAGUUGUGAGUUGUGACCUCUCUUCAAAUAAAUUGACCCACUAGAUGGCUUUAAGCCACUGUGUGAAUGUGCACACCCUAAUGCGUGUGAACAAAAAAUAAUAAAUUUAUUUAUACUUAAUAAAAUAAAAUAAAAAAAUCUAUUUAAAUUAUAGUAGGUUCCACUUUUUUUGAAAUUAUUUUUUUGCCCUUUACAUUGUAGUAUACAAACCUAUUACAUAAGGGGUAAAAUCAAAACUUUGGAAAUAAACACGCUAUCUUAUAUAAAUUAUAAUAGAUCCCACUUUUAUAAAAAUUAUUUUUUUACCUUUUUUAUUGUAGUAUACAACUCUUAAUACAUUAGGAUAAAAUCGAAAAUAUGGAAAUAAAAUCAGAACUUAGGGGUAAAAUCGGAAGUGGGAAAAUAAAAUUGAAACUUAGGGGUAAAAUUAGAACUAUGAAAAUAAAAUUAAAAUUUAGGGAUAAAAUCGGAACUGUUUAUAAAAGAUAGGGGUAUAAUCGAAACUUUAAUAAGAGGUAGGGUAUAAUCAAAACUAUUUAUAAGAGAUAGGGGUAUAAUUGGAACUAUUUAUAAGAGAUAGGGGUAUAAUCAGAAUUUUAAUAAAAGAUAGGGUAUAAUCAAAACUAUUUAUAAAAGAUAAGGGUAUAAUCGUAACUGUGUAUAAGAGAUAGGGGUAUAAUCGGAACUGUACAUGAGAGACACGUCAGGUCUCAUGAACGAACUCGAGAAGGAGGCGCCUUAGAAAAUAGUUUAAAUAUCCCGUGAUAUUUUUAAACAGUGUUUCUAGAUAAAUAAUUAGUUGUGGGAUCCACUUUUGCUCGUCGUCAGCCAUUAUUCUGCUCCAUUAUUUUUCUAAGAUAAGCUUUUACUUAUUUUAAACUUGAAAGUUCAAAGUUUCAAACAUGGACAAAAGCUUUUACUUAUUUUAAACUUGAAAGUUCAAAGUUUCAAACAUGGACAAAAGCUUUUACUUAUUUUAAACUUGAAAGUUCAAAGUUUCAAACAUGGACAAAUUUAUAUAUCUCAGAAUCAUGACUACAUGCAUUUUUGACCAUUUUUUAAUUAAAAAUAAUUAUUAUUGUCGUCGGGGUAUUUUGGUCAAUGUAUCAUUGGUUUUUAACUAUAAAUCAUUCCCUCCUGUUCUUUUAAAGUCACUCACAUCAACAUUUCUAUUUCCAUUCCAUUAUCAAAGGAAUAAGAAAAUAUCAGUGUGAUUUGAAAUUUUAGUGAAAAAAUAUGGCUGAGAAGAGUAAGAUUUUGUCGAUCGGAGGAACCGGUUACAUCGGAAAACAUAUAGUACAAGCAAGUAUUAAAGCAGGACAUCCAACCUAUCUUUUUGUUAGAGAAAGCUCAGUUUCUGAUCCUGUUAAAGGAAAACUCAUUGAAAGCUUCACUAACUCCGGCGUCACUCUGCUCUAUGUAUGAAACAAUUUUUUCUUUAUCGCUUUUAAGGAUUACUUGAUUUAUUUGAAUUUAAGAAUUAUUGGAAUUUUUGUGAUUACAGGGUGAUCUUCAUGAUCACGAGAGUUUGGUGAAGGCCAUCAAGCAAGUUGAUGUUGUGAUCUCGACUGUAGGUCAUGGUCAAUUAGGUGAUCAGGGGAAGAUUAUCGCCGCCAUUAAAGAAGCUGGAAAUGUUAAGGUAUAUUACUAUAUUUCUUUAAUAAAAUUAAAGUUAUUAUCCCAAACGAAUCUUGAUCUAUUAGAACUAAUUACAUGGAAUAAUUAGAAUAGAUAUUUUGGAAUUUGGAUCUGAUCCGUACAUAUUAUCUUUAAGGAAUUAGAAUCUAAUUGAUCAAGUGAAUUAUAGUAAUUUUAGUAAAACAGAAUUGCUCGCAACUUUUUAUGUGUAUAUGAAUUUUCCAGAUUGACUGAUAUCUGUUGGAUAGUAAUAGUCAUUUUACUGACUUAAUAAACCUGUUUUGUUUGUUUUCUUCUUCUAGAGAUACUUCCCUUCAGAGUUUGGAAAUGAUAUCGAUCGUAGUACUGCCGUUGAUCCAGCAAAGACUAUGUUCGCCAUAAAGGCUCAAUUUCGUCGAAGUAUUGAAGCUGAAGGAAUUCCCUACACUUAUGUCUGCUCAAAUGGUUUCGCAGGAGUUUUUCUCCCUAAUUUGGCACAGAUUGGACCCACAACUCCUCCCAGAGACAAAGUUGUCAUCCUAGGGGAUGGAAAUGCUAAAGGUAUUUCAUUUCCAUAUGUUAUUUGAUUUCCAAAAUUUCCACUUGUAUGGCAUAUUGCUAAUCAUUAUAUUAAAGAAGUCCAUCAUAUUGUUAUAUCAAUUACCUUGAUUCUGAAAAGUUAUACUUAUGUUUUGCUAGUCUAUUUUUCCGAAGUCCAUAUAGUGGAUGAUUUGAGAACAUACACCAUUAUAGGAUUGGCAAUAGUACGCUAUUGUGGAUCAGUGAUGUGUGACAUGCACUAUAUUGGCAUAAUAGCAGUACUAGCCCUUUUACUGUACUUGGUAAAUCAUAAACUCAUAGUAAAGGCAUUGUGUAUAGGAUGUAUAUGAGUAUAUCACUGUGUAAAACUUACAUUAUGCUGCAGAGCUCAAGUCAAUUGUAACCUGCAUAAAUAACAUUUUUAUCUUUGUGUCUUUCUAUUUUCAGCGGUACUUAACCAAGAAGAUGACGUCGCAACAUACACCAUCAAAGCAGUAGAUGAUCCAAGGACCUUGAACAAGAUUUUCUACAUCAAACCCCCUAGCAACACCCUCUCA